rnacentral:lncRNA from 1 species
UAUUUAAAAAUAGACAAUAGAAAAUGAAUGCUAAAACAGUGAUCUCAAAAUCUAGCUCCCCAGGUGUUGAUGGCUUACAACUCCCAGAAUUCUCUGAAUGUUAUAGAUGGCUUGAGAAUCAAGGGAGUUGUAGUGCAGAGAUAUCUGGAGGGUGGAGUUUGGGAGGGCUACGGUAUUUUGAAUAUUUGUCAAAUAAUGGUUUUAGGGUCUAUGAAAUAUAGAUUACUUUAAUUAUAUCUUUAUUAAAGGGACACUAUAGUCACCAAAAUAACUUUAGCUUAAUGAAGAAGUUUGGGUGUAUAGAUUAUGCACCUGUAGUCUCACUGCUCAAUUAUCUGCCUUAUUGGAGUUACAUUACUUUGUUUAUGCAGCCCUAGGAACACCUAGCAACUUACACAGCUUUCCUAAACACUUCCUGUAAAGGGUCAUCUAAUGUUUACACUUCCUUUAUUGCAAAUUCUGUUUAAUUUAGAAUGUAUUAUCUUCUGCUAUCUUAACAGCUUGCUAGAGCCUGCAUGAGCCCCCUGUAUGUAAUUAAACUUAAAUUUACAGAGUAGGAGAGAAAAACGUUUCAAUUAAGUUACAUCUUAUUAAAAAUGAAACCAUUUUGUUUUGUUUUCAUGCAGGCUGUGUCCGUCACAGCCAGGGGAGGGGUGACUAGGUCUGCAUAAACAAAAUAAAAGUGGUUUAAUUCCUAAGUAGCAUAACAUUGAGCUAUGAGACUGCAGGGGCGCAAUCUAUACACAAAUAUUGCUUUAAAUAAGCUAAAGUUGUUUUGGUGAUUAUAGUGUCUCUUUAAUGUAUAUGUAUACACUGUGCCAUGUUAGGUUGGGGAAGCCAGUUAAGCAUUUUUUGGUUUCAAGUCACAGUAGACACCUACAUUUUGAUAAAUUGAUGGACUUUUUCUAAUCCUAAAUUUACAGUGUUACUAAAUAUGUGUAAUAUUGCCCUUGGGACAGCCAUUUUAAAUACUCUUAAAGCAUUCUAAUGUAAACCAUUUAGGCAGCUGGUCCUAACAGUGUUAGAAUGAGAAUCUUGGUGAGUUUAGGUAGAAAAGAAACAUUAUGCAAUCUUUGGCCUACAUACUUCUCAGAUUAUCUUAGUUGCAGUAAAGUAAUUCCUUGAAGUAAAACAUCUAUAAAACUAUUACAUAACCGAAAGAAAAUGCAAAUAAAAAAAAACAAAAAAACAAUUGUCAAUUACCAACUAAUUUCUAUAUACCUUGAAUGUUUAUCUAGUUAUAUUUUUUUGAAAUUUUUUAUUUUAUUUACAUGGUGUUCUAUAAUGUUUUGAAAGGUACAAAUAAGGAAAAUUAAGAAAUCUAUUUUCAUAAUCAUUUCUACGAAUAUCUUUAAAGUUUUGCCAACAUUCCCAACUGAAAUCCUUGGUUGUAACAUCAUUUUAUAACUAUCUUUUUUCUUUGAAUAUUUAUAACAUAGUGUAUUGCAAGUGUUAGGAACAAAUAAAAAUGUGUUUGUAAAGUCACUUCACUCCAUUAAACAUUUACAAUUGAAAAAUUUGUAUUCGUUAGUUUUUGUAAAUUAAUUCUAAAUAAGUAAAUAUAUUAAAAAAAAAUUAAAGAAAAGAAAA